rnacentral:tRNA from 1 species
CGUUGUGUUGUAACAGAAACAG